AUAAAAUGACGAUUUUUUGGGGUUUUUCCCUGAAAAAUAAUUCACCUUUUGUGCAUUGUUAUUAGAUAUACUUUGGUUAGAGCUUUGAUUUCAUUUAAUGGAAUCAACUUCUUGCUGACUCUAUCCUUUUUGAGGACAGUUGGCUAUGAAGCGGCCUACCAAGGUUUUUUAUCAAACUCUUGUAUUUUGUCUGACCUAAAACAUAAUAAUUAAAUCA
rnacentral:misc_RNA from 1 species